rnacentral:lncRNA from 1 species
AGCUAGAAAAUAUAGACCUUUCUAGUCUAUGCAUCAAUGAAGAGUCCUCGGAGGCUGCAAUUGAUGAUAAAAAGAAAUCACCAAGAGGUAAUUCAAGAGAAUCCUCGUCACCUUUCUUCGGAAGCAAUCAUCCGGACCUGGACAGGAUUCAAUUGGAGCCAUCAAGAUUGCUCGAUAUCCUCACGAAGAAAUCGUCUUUCCCUGGAAGUUUCAUUUCGAUUCCGGAAAUCCAAGCUCGAAACAAAGUUCUGAAACACUGUGGAUUGCCGGACGAUGACUACCUGGUUCUCUUCACACCAAACUACAAGGAUGCAAUGAUGUUAGUAGGAGAAAGCUACCCUUUUUUUAAAGGUAACUUCUACAUGAGCAUCAUUGGUGAAGAACUUGAUUAUGUAAAGGAAUUUGCGAGUUACAAGGAAUCAAAAGUGAUAUUGGCACCUGAAACAUGGUUGGAUUUGAGAAUCAAAGGGUCACAACUUAGUCAGUAUUUCAGGAAAAAAUGUAAGCAUAGUCCAAAGGGAUUGUUCUCGUAUCCAGUUGAUGUUAAUGGGAUG